UACGGAGGGUGCGAGCGUUGUUCGGAAUCACUGGGCGUAAAGGGCGUGUAGGCGGUCCGCUAAGUCUGAUGUGAAAGCCCGGGGCUCACCCCCGGAAGGGCAUUGGAAACUGGCGGACUCGAGUCCCGGAGAGGAAGGUGGAAUUCCUGGUGUAGCGGUGAAAUGCGUAGAUAUCAGGAGGAAUACCGGUGGCGAAGGCGGCCUUCUGGACGGUGACUGACGCUGAGACGCGAAAGCGUGGGGAGCAAAC
rnacentral:rRNA from 2 species